rnacentral:lncRNA from 1 species
AAAAAUAUAAAAAUCCUUUAUUAGCUGUACAAUACUCUCAUCCAUCAAUCACGACACCCCCAGGUACAUUCUCUAGGAUCUCCUGCAUCAAGCUUCCAUUGUGUUCAAAAUCUAGUUGUUUAAAAGAGGCUACUCGGUAUACACACACACGUAUUAUUUCCAAGUAUUUUUGGUGAUAAUUGAUGUUGUACAUCAGAAUUGACCCGCUAAUGUUUCUGUCCUGAACCUCAGAUUUGUCUGUUUGAUAUUAAUGAUUUCAAGAAGCACUGCUGCUGCAUUCACUGUUUC